rnacentral:tRNA from 1 species
UGCGGCAUAGCCAAAAGGUAAGGCACAUGGUUUUGACCCAUGUAAUGGAAGUUCGAUUCUUUCUGCCGCAACCA